GUAGGUGGCAAGCGUUGUCCGGAAUUAUUGGGCGUAAAGCGCGCGCAGGCGGCCUUUAAGUCUGAUGUGAAAGCCCACGGGCUCAACCGUGGAGGGUCAUUGGAAACUGGGGGACUUGAGUACAGAAGAGGAAAGCGGAAUUCCAAGUGUAGCGGUGAAAUGCGUAGAGAUUUGGAGGAACACCAGUGGCGAAGGCGGCUUUCUGGUCUGUAACUGACGCUGAGGCGCGAAAGCGUGGGGAGCAAACAGGAUUAGAUACCCUGGUAGUCCACGCCGUAAACGAUGAGUGCUAAGUGUUAGGGGGUUUCCGCCCCUUAGUGCUGCAGCUAACGCAUUAAGCACUCCGCCUGGGGAGUACGGCCGCAAAGGCUGA
rnacentral:rRNA from 1 species